rnacentral:rRNA from 1 species
AUACGGGGGGUGCAAGCGUUAAUCGGAAUUACUGGGCGUAAAGCGCGCGUAGGCGGUUUGUUCAGUCGGAUGUGAAAGCCCAGGGCUCAACCUUGGAACUGCAUUCGAUACUGGCAAACUAGAAUGUAAUAGAGGAUAGUGGAAUUUCCGGUGUAGCGGUGAAAUGCGUAGAGAUCGGAAGGAACAUCAGUGGCGAAGGCGGCUAUCUGGAUCAACAUUGACGCUGAGGUGCGAAAGCGUGGGUAGCAAACAGGAUUAGAUACCCUAGUAGUCC